rnacentral:rRNA from 1 species
AACGAACGCUGGCGGCAUGCCUAACACAUGCAAGUCGAACGAGACCUUCGGGUCUAGUGGCGCACGGGUGCGUAACGCGUGGGAAUCUACCCUCAGGUUCGGAAUAACUCAGAGAAAUUUGAGCUAAUACCGGAUGAUGACGUAAGUCCAAAGAUUUAUCGCCUGAGGAUGAGCCCGCUUAGGAUUAGGUAGUUGGUGAGGUAAAGGCUCACCAAGCCGACGAUCCUUAGCUGGUCUGAGAGGAUGAGCAGCCACACUGGGACUGAGACACGGCCCAGACUCCUACGGGAGGCAGCAGUGGGGAAUAUUGGACAAUGGGCGAAAGCCUGAUCCAGCAAUGCCGCGUGAGUGAUGAAGGCCUUAGGGUUGUAAAGCUCUUUUACCCGGGAUGAUAAUGACAGUACCGGGAGAAUAAGCUCCGGCUAACUCCGUG